CGUGUAGGCGGUCAGGUAAGUGGGAUGUGAAAUGCCCCGGCUCACCCGGGGACCGGCAUCCCAAACUGCCUGACUUGAGUAUGGGAGAGGAUGUGGGAAUUCCUGGUGUAGCGGUGAAAUGCGUAGAUAUCAGGAGGAACACCGGUGGCGAAGGCGCACAUCUGGCCCAAUACUGACGCUGAGGCGCGAAAGCUAGGGGAGCAAACG
rnacentral:rRNA from 1 species